rnacentral:lncRNA from 1 species
GGACUUUUAGACUGUUUGUAUUUGUUUUGGAUUUUAACUGUUUUCAUGGACUUUUAAACUGCAAAAUUCAACAAAAACUCAAUUUAUUUAAGCACAACAUUUUUCCUAAACGUGAACAGCUUUCUUUAACUAUCACGGUUUUAAAAGCUUUCGCUACAGAAUAUGUUUUAAAACGAAUCAAAUUAACGUUAAAAUAAUUUUUAAAUUA